rnacentral:rRNA from 1 species
UACGGAGGGGGCUAGCGUUGUUCGGAAUUACUGGGCGUAAAGCGCGCGUAGGCGGCUUUGUAAGUCAGAGGUGAAAGCCUGGAGCUCAACUCCAGAACUGCCUUUGAGACUGCAUCGCUAGAAUCGUGGAGAGGUAAGUGGAAUUCCGAGUGUAGAGGUGAAAUUCGUAGAUAUUCGGAAGAACACCAGUGGCGAAGGCGACUUACUGGACACGUAUUGACGCUGAGGUGCGAAAGCGUGGGGAGCAAACAGG